rnacentral:rRNA from 1 species
GAUCAUGGCUCAGAAUGAACGCUGGCGGCAUGCCUAACACAUGCAAGUCGAACGAAGGCUUCGGCCUUAGUGGCGCACGGGUGCGUAACGCGUGGGAAUCUGCCCCUUGGUUCGGAAUAACAGUUAGAAAUGACUGCUAAUACCGGAUGAUGACGUAAGUCCAAAGAUUUAUCGCCGAGGGAUGAGCCCGCGUAGGAUUAGCUAGUUGGUGUGGUAAGAGCGCACCAAGGCGACGAUCCUUAGCUGGUCUGAGAGGAUGAUCAGCCACACUGGGACUGAGACACGGCCCAGACUCCUACGGGAGGCAGCAGUGGGGAAUAUUGGACAAUGGGCGAAAGCCUGAAUCCAGCAAUGCCGCGUGAGUGAUGAAGGCCUUAGGGUUGUAAAGCUCUUUUACCCGGGAUGAUAAUGACAGUACCGGGAGAAUAAGCCCCGGCUAACUCCGUGCCAGCCGCCGC